rnacentral:rRNA from 1 species
UACGAAGGGGGCUAGCGUUGUUCGGAAUUACUGGGCGUAAAGCGCACGUAGGCGGAUAUUUAAGUCAGGGGUGAAAUCCCGGGGCUCAACCCCGGAACUGCCUUUGAUACUGGGUAUCUCGAGUCCGGAAGAGGUGAGUGGAAUUGCGAGUGUAGAGGUGAAAUUCGUAGAUAUUCGCAAGAACACCAGUGGCGAAGGCGGCUCACUGGCCCGGUACUGACGCUGAGGUGCGAAAGCGUGGGGAGCAAACAGG